UAAAAAUAUUGGCUUUUUCUAAAAUUGUCUAGCUGUUGCAUGGUCCUGCACAAUCCUUCAGAAGUGCAUUUGAGCCAAGCCAUGAGAGGGCGUGGCCUGUACGAGGUGUCCACCCACAUAGAAACGCGUCUCAACUGCAGUCUUCAACCAGCAACGACCUGCAAGCACCGCUGCGUGUGCUUGAUGAGCAGAGGGGCAACGCAGUCACACCCUGUUGCUAAUGAGCCUGAGUGUGAGAAAGUCUGACCAUAGAGAUUCUCACUGCAACUCACGGAUGACUGGGUCCCUGUGGGGGGGGACAUCAAGCCUGCCUGCUCCAGCUCAGUCCAGUCCAAAAGACUACAAUAAAGAAAGAAAUGUUAAGGGAAAGAUGCAGUUUGUGGAUGGGAGGAUGGAAAAGUAUAAAUAAAGUAAUUUCCUCUC